UGGCGGCAUGCCUUACACAUGCAAGUCGAACGGCAGCACGGGAGCAAUCCUGGUGGCGAGUGGCGAACGGGUGAGUAAUAUAUCGGAACGUGCCCAGUCGUGGGGGAUAACGCAGCGAAAGCUGUGCUAAUACCGCAUACGAUCUAAGGAUGAAAGCGGGGGACCGUAAGGCCUCGCGCGAUUGGAGCGGCCGAUAUCAGAUUAGCUAGUUGGUGGGGUAAAAGCCCACCAAGGCGACGAUCUGUAGCUGGUCUGAGAGGACGACCAGCCACACUGGAACUGAGACACGGUCCAGACUCCUACGGGAGGCAGCAGUGGGGAAUUUUGGACAAUGGGCGCAAGCCUGAUCCAGCAAUGCCGCGUGCAGGAUGAAGGCCUUCGGGUUGUAAACUGCUUUUGUACGGAACGAAACGGCUCCUUCUAAUACAAGGGGCUAAUGACGGUACCGUAAGAAUAAGCACCGGCUAACUACGUGCCAGCAGCCGCGGUAAUACGUAGGGUGCGAGCGUUAAUCGGAAUUACUGGGCGUAAAGCGUGCGCAGGCGGUUAUAUAAGACAGAUGUGAAAUCCCCGGGCUCAACCUGGGACCUGCAUUUGUGACUGUAUAGCUAGAGUACGGUAGAGGGGGAUGGAAUUCCGCGUGUAGCAGUGAAAUGCGUAGAUAUGCGGAGGAACACCGAUGGCGAAGGCAAUCCCCUGGACCUGUACUGACGCUCAUGCACGAAAGCGUGGGGAGCAAACAGGAUUAGAUACCCUGGUAGUCCACGCCCUAAACGAUGUCAACUGGUUGUUGGGUCUUCACUGACUCAGUAACGAAGCUAACGCGUGAAGUUGACCGCCUGGGGAGUACGGCCGCAAGG
rnacentral:rRNA from 1 species